AACGGACCCCCAUGUUCUAGAUUAUGGCGCCCUCAUGUUCUAGACUACGGUGCCCUCAUGUUCUAGACUACAGCGCCCUCGUGUUCUACACUACGGCAGAAUUCAUGGAUAUGUUAGUCCCAUUGGGAAAUUUUUCAUUGAAAAAAGAAAUUUGUUGAGAGGGCCCCACGUCCCAGAAACCUGAGGGGCUGGAUCACUGAGAGGACCGAGCUCAACUACAGUCUCUCUUGGACAUUGCUAAGAAGCCCCAUGCUGGAGCUGCUGGGCGCGCAAGUCCUCUGAAGAGACUGUGUGCCCGCAGGUACCUGUGUUUUCCAGUAAACCCUCUUGCUGAUUGCAUCCGAGUGGCCUCGGCUCAGUCAUUGGGCGCUUGGGUCUCCUCCUGAGGGAAAGGUCCUCUCUGGAGGUCUUUCAUUUUGGGGGCUCGUCCGGGAUCUGGAGAUCCUCCGCCCAGAGAUCACCGACCACCCACCGGGAGGUAAGCUGGCCGGCAUCUGUCGUGUCUUGCCCUGUCUUGUCUUGUCUUGUC
ensembl:lncRNA